UACGUAGGGCGCGAGCGUUGUCCGGAAUUAUUGGGCGUAAAGAGCUCGUAGGCGGCUUGUCACGUCGGGUGUGAAAGACCGGGGCUUAACUCCGGUUCUGCAUUCGAUACGGGCUAGCUAGAGUGUGGUAGGGGGAGAUCGGAAUUCCUGGUGUAGCGGUGAAAUGCGCAGAUAUCAGGAGGAACACCGGUGGCGAAGGCGGAUCUCUGGGCCAUUACUGACGCUGAGGAGCGAAAGCAUGGGGGAGCGAACAGG
rnacentral:rRNA from 1 species